UUGUCCCAGCCCGCCGGGCGCUCCCGGCUCUGGCCUCGGGGCUCCGCGGAGCCGCUGCUGUUAACGUGCUCGGGGAAAAAACAUCCACGGCGCUCCUGCUCCGUGGGCAUAAACCUUCGAUGUUUUGGAGGGGGAAAUCCUCGCUUGCUAGCACCAAGGCCCGGCGGGGUGUCACGGCGGGGAUUAGAGAGGAGCUGGAGGGAAGGAGGAAGGCUGGAGGCAUGCGUGGCCGUGACACCGGCUCUGCCCUAAAAUCACCCGUGACGGACGCGCGGGCGGUGCGUGCGCCCAGCAGAAAUACCGCCGUCGGACCGGGCGAGCGAGGUCUCCGUCCCACUUCGCUGCUCUUGCGACAGAACACGACGCUUGCUCAUCCUCCGUGAGCUCUCCGUGGGGACUGCGGCGACUCUUUUCCUGCUCUGCGUUGGUUAAAAAAAAAAAAAAAAAAAAAAAAAAAAAAAGAAGAAAAAAGAAAAUAACGAAAAUUACCUAGCUCGAAGACGGACAGUGUUCGGUGUCACCCAAAAGACGGAUCGUCUUUUGCGUACAAAACCCGUGGCAAAAAGUGAACUCUUUUAAUAGCGCUUUAACUGAUGGUGUAAAAAUUGUCUGGUGGUGGAAAGUAGUAAAUAGCGGUAAUAAAGGAUAGAUCCAAACUAUGAACCGUGAAUAA